CACUGCAAAUGACGGAGGCUUGGCUUGUGAAAUUUCAGAGGGUAGAUGACCAAGCAUUCAUACAAAGGAAAACUACCCAGGAAUACAACAGGAAGUCAACAAAGUGGAUACAUUUGUAAAACAUCACCAAGAGAAGGAAUCCAAACUCAGAAGGGAUACAAUGCAAGCCGCAAGCCUUGUGUGCUUGGUGAUCUGGAAUUGUCACACAGUCCAGCUGGCUGCACUACUACGGAAACUGUCAUGGAAAUGGACAUCACAGAGGCUCUGUAGGAGUACCCACAUCACCCAGCUAACAACAACAGAUGUGUGUACUGUCGAUUUAAAGGGUGCACACGCCUCUGACAACACUGUGUGUGUAUUUACUCUACAUACGUCACAUCAACAACAAUACCAGGUAACAUCUAUGGAGCACUUAUUACAGGCAAGGUGUUGUGCUAAGCUGCCUAUGGAUUAUUGAAGAAUAUACUACAGAUCUGUCAGUUUGCAUGCAUGGAAAACAUCUGGAUUUACCCUAUGUAGAAAAAAAACCAAAUCUCCAGAUAUAAAUAUUCAGCGACAUGAACCCAGCUGAAUAAGUUCUGCUCAUCAGUCCUUACAACAGAGGGGGAGGGGGCACUGGGUAAGACUCUGUAGGAGCGCAGACAGUCGUCCUGUCAGUGGGAGAUGCUGCAGUAGAAAGUCCAGAGAAGGAGAGGAAAGCCGUGCGAGACUUCAUUUGCAAAUGUUUGUGAGUGCCAUCUGUCUGCUUCCCUCCAUCUUUCUCUCGCACAGUCAGCUCCUCUGGAGGGUACUGACCUCCGUGUCAGGAACCCACCGAGCUCGUCAUAGGCGAGGCAGCUUCUGACACCAUCUCAGAAUGUUAGCUCUGAUCUCCCCAGCCUGUGCUAGCUUGUGCCUACCACAACAUGGUCAUCUGCUGGAUGUGGUUGCUCCGGAGCACUGGAUCUCAUGGCUGUAGUGAUUCAUUCCUCAGGCAGUCUGAGAGUGCGAUUUAAAUAACACUGCUUGUUCAGAAAACAUUCUUUGGCAUAGUUCUUUUGCUUGGAAGCAUCUGCUGUUUACAGUGUGGAUCUAUUGGGGGAUGUCCUUCCCUGCCUCAUUUCUCUUUGCGUGGCUAACCUCUAUUCCGUCUUCCAUGCUUCCAUCUGUGUCCUCCCCGCUAGAAAGCCACCCUGUCUACAUGGACAUUCUGCACUCUUCUCAACUCCUGGCACACGGUACUGGCUUGUCACCUCACAGACCUACAGCCACCGCGUGUUUACUGUUACAUUUUGUGUGGACACAGAAGCUGGACUGGGCAGUAGUUUUGCAAUAGUCUAGAGGUCUUUCAUUUUUUGACUUCUGUUAGCUAUGAAUUCAGAGAAUGACUCCAGCACGCCUCUCUGGAUAGAGCAGGCUGGAGUGUCCACUGAACCCAGGUAUGUUUCUUCCAGCCUUCCUUUCCUGAUUUUCUUUUCUGUUCUUUUUUGAAAAGU